AACGGGUCAUAUGAUGGGUCGGAUUCUGUUGAUACUUUGUAACCUGGCUGCGAGUUCUGAAGGGAGAGCAGCAAUGCUUGAUGGGGGUGCAGUGGAGUGUUUUGUAUGUAUGUUGAGAAAGGGAGAGUUUGAAUCGGAGUCGACUCGUGAGAAUUGUCUUGCUGCAUUAUAUGGACUUAGUCAUGGUGGCCUUAGGUUUAAAGGGUUGGCAAAAGAGGCUGCUGCGGAGGAGCUGUUGAUACAAGUUGAGGAAAUGGGAAGUGAAAGGGCCAAGGAUAAAGUUAGAAAGAUAUUGGAGGUUUUGAGGCAGAAGGAUGAAGAGGAGGAGGAAGUUGAUUGGGAGAAGUUGCUUAAUUCGGAUGAUGAUAUCAGUCAAGCACGGAUAAGUUCUUCAUAGCUCUUGUUUGUUUCUGUUUCUUCACUGUAUGCUAUUUCAUUCCUUUUUCUGAGAAAUGGCUUGUAAUUAGGCACGGUUUUCUCUUUGCAUAGCUUCGGAUAGCAUGAUUUUGGUUUUGGUUUUGCUCGUCGUGUCUUCUGAGGUCAUGUGACAGUUGACAUGGUAAAUAAUGUUGGAGGUGUAAAGAAAGAUUCUGAACAGUGUGUUUUAGUUUUUGGAGAAAAG
rnacentral:misc_RNA from 1 species